rnacentral:rRNA from 1 species
UACGAAGGGGGCUAGCGUUGCUCGGAAUCACUGGGCGUAAAGCGCACGUAGGCGGCUUCUUAAGUCAGGGGUGAAAGCCUGGAGCUCAACUCCAGAACUGCCUUUGAUACUGAGGAGCUUGAGUCCGGGGAGAGGUGAGUGGAACUGCGAGUGUAGAGGUGAAAUUCGUAGAUAUUCGCAAGAACACCAGUGGCGAAGGCGGCUCACUGGCCCGGUACUGACGCUGAGGUGCGAAAGCGUGGGGAGCAACAGG